rnacentral:rRNA from 1 species
UACGGGGGGGGCAAGCGUUGUUCGGAAUUACUGGGCGUAAAGGGCGCGUAGGCGGCCUUCUAAGUCAGACGUGAAAUCCCUCGGCUUAACCGGGGAACUGCGUCUGAUACUGGAGGGCUUGGAUCCGGGAGAGGGAUGCGGAAUUCCAGGUGUAGCGGUGAAAUGCGUAGAUAUCUGGAGGAACACCGGUGGCGAAGGCGGCAUCCUGGACCGGCAUCGACGCUGAGGCGCGAAAGCCAGGGGAGCAAACGGG